AUGAACGCUAGCGACAGGCUUAACACAUGCAAGUCGAGGGGCAGCACAGGUAGCAAUACCGGGUGGCGACCGGCGCACGGGUGAGUAACGCGUAUGCAACUUACCUAUCAGAGGGGGAUAACCCGGCGAAAGUCGGACUAAUACCGCAUGAAGCAGGGGCCCCGCAUGGGGAUAUUUGCUAAAGAUUCAUCGCUGAUAGAUAGGCAUGCGUUCCAUUAGGCAGUUGGCGGGGUAACGGCCCACCAAGCCGACGAUGGAUAGGGGUUCUGAGAGGAAGGUCCCCCACAUUGGUACUGAGACACGGACCAAACUCCUACGGGAGGCAGCAGUGAGGAAUAUUGGUCAAUGGGCGCGAGCCUGAACCAGCCAAGUCGCGUGAGGGAUGAAGGUUCUAUGGAUCGUAAACCUCUUUUAUAAGGGAAUAAAGUGCGGGACGUGUCCCGUUUUGUAUGUACCUUAUGAAUAAGGAUCGGCUAACUCCGUGCCAGCAGCCGCGGUAAUACGGAGGAUCCGAGCGUUAUCCGGAUUUAUUGGGUUUAAAGGGUGCGUAGGCGGCCUUUUAAGUCAGCGGUGAAAGUCUGUGGCUCAACCAUAGAAUUGCCGUUGAAACUGGGGGGCUUGAGUAUGUUUGAGGCAGGCGGAAUGCGUGGUGUAGCGGUGAAAUGCUUAGAUAUCACGCAGAACCCCGAUUGCGAAGGCAGCCUGCCAAGCCAUGACUGACGCUGAUGCACGAAAGCGUGGGGAUCAAACAGGAUUAGAUACCCUGGUAGUCCACGCAGUAAACGAUGAUCACUAGCUGUUUGCGAUACAUUGUAAGCGGCACAGCGAAAGCGUUAAGUGAUCCACCUGGGGAGUACGCCGGCAACGGUGAAACUCAAAGGAAUUGACGGGGGCCCGCACAAGCGGAGGAACAUGUGGUUUAAUUCGAUGAUACGCGAGGAACCUUACCCGGGUUUGAACGCAUUUCGACCGCUCUGGAAACAGAGCCUCUAGCAAUAGCGAUUUGCGAGGUGCUGCAUGGUUGUCGUCAGCUCGUGCCGUGAGGUGUCGGCUUAAGUGCCAUAACGAGCGCAACCCUUGCCACUAGUUACUAACAGGUGAUGCUGAGGACUCUGGUGGGACUGCCAGCGUAAGCUGCGAGGAAGGCGGGGAUGACGUCAAAUCAGCACGGCCCUUACAUCCGGGGCGACACACGUGUUACAAUGGCGUGGACAAAGGGAAGCCACCUGGCGACAGGGAGCGAAUCCCCAAACCACGUCUCAGUUCGGAUCGGAGUCUGCAACCCGACUCCGUGAAGCUGGAUUCGCUAGUAAUCGCGCAUCAGCCAUGGCGCGGUGAAUACGUUCCCGGGCCUUGUACACACCGCCCGUCAAGCCAUGGGAGCCGGGGGUACCUGAAGUCCGUAACCGCGAGGAUCGGCCUAGGGUAAAACUGGUGACUGGGGCU
rnacentral:rRNA from 1 species